rnacentral:rRNA from 1 species
AAUGAACGCUGGCGGAAUGCUUUACACAUGCAAGUCGAGCGGAGAUGAGGUGCUUGCACCUUAUCUUAGCGGCGGCCGGGUGGGUAAUGCUUAGGAAUCUGCCUAUUAGUGGGGGACAACAUUCCGAAAGGAAUGCUAAUACCGCAUACGUCCUACGAGAUAAAGAAGGGGAUCUUCGGACCGUGCGCUAAUAGAUGAGCCUAAGUCGGAUUAGCUAGUUGGUGGGGUAAAGGCCUACCAAGGCGACGAUCUGUAGCGGGUCUGAGAGGAUGAUCCGCCACACUGGGACUGAGACACGGCCCAGACUCCUACGGGAGGCAGCAGUGGGGAAUAUUGGACAAUGGGGGGAACCCUGAUCCAGCCAUGCCGCGUGUGUGAAGAAGGCCUUAUGGUUGUAAAGCACUUUAAGCGAGGAGGAGGCUACUGAGACUAAUACUCUUGGAUAGUGGACGUUACUCGCAGAAUAAGCACCGGCUAACUCUGUGCCAGCCGCCGCCGUAACAC